rnacentral:rRNA from 1 species
CAGAGGUGGCAAGCGUUGUUCGGAAUUACUGGGCGUAAAGGGCGCGUAGGCGGCCUUUUUAGUCAGACGUGAAAUCCCCCGGCUUAACCUGGGAACUGCGUCUGAUACUGGAAGGCUUGAGUUCGGGAGAGGGAUGUAGAAUUCCAGGUGUAGCGGUGAAAUGCGUAGAUAUCUGGAGGAAUACCGGUGGCGAAGGCGGCAUCCUGGACCGAAACUGACGCUGAGGCGCGAAAGCUAGGGGAGCAAACGGGAUUAGAUACCCCGGUAGUCCUAGCCCUAAACGAUGAAUGCUUGGUGUGGCGGGUAUCGAUCCCUGCCGUGCCGAAGCUAACGCAUUAAGCAUUCCGCCUGGGGAGUACGGUCGCAAGGCUG